CUAACAGCCCCGAAGAUAGAUAUUCUCUUAUGUAACCUCAGAUCUGGUAGAUCAGAAGCAGCAAAACUUCCCCCACACUGCUCUGCCAUUGUGCCUCAAACUUGCUCGGAAGGGACUACCUCUAGUGAAUGGGAGUGGGAGUGUAAAUUAGUCUUCAUUCUCAUUAAACCCUUGGUCUAU
rnacentral:sRNA from 1 species